rnacentral:rRNA from 1 species
UACAGAGGGUGCGAGCGUUGUCCGGAAUCAUUGGGCGUAAAGAGCUCGUAGGCGGCCUGUUACGUCUGCUGUGAAAUCCCGGGGCUUAACCCCGGGCGUGCAGUGGAUACGGGCAGGCUGGAGGCAGGCAGGGGAGAACGGAAUUCCCGGUGUAGCGGUGAAAUGCGCAGAUAUCGGGAGGAACACCGGUGGCGAAGGCGGUUCUCUGGGCCUGUACUGACGCUGAGGAGCGAAAGCGUGGGGAGCGAACAGG